AUGAGAGCGAUGGCCAGCGGCGGCAACUGGUUAGGCUUCUCCCUCUCCCCGCACAUGGCCAUGGAGGUGCCCUCCUCCUCUGAGCCCGACCACGCUCAGCCUGCUAGCGCUAGCGCUAUGUCCGCUUCUCCCACCAACGCCGCCACCUGCAACCUCCUCUUCUCCCCUCCCUCGCAAAUGGCCGCUCCACCUCCUGGCUACUACUACGUCGGCGGGGCCUACGGGGAUGGCACCAGCACCGCCGGCGUUUACUACUCCCACCACCCCGUCAUGCCCAUCACGUCCGAUGGAUCCCUGUGCAUCAUGGAAGGGAUGAUGCCGUCGUCCUCGCCGAAGCUCGAGGACUUCUUGGGUGGCGGCAAUGGCAGUGCGCACGACGCGGUCACCUACUACAGCCACCACCAGCAGCAGCAGCAGGACCAACAGGACCAGGAGGUAAGCAGAAUCUACCAGCACCAUCAGCAGCAGCUAGCGCCCUACAACUUCCAGCACUUGACGGAGGCAGAGGCGAUCUACCAAGAGGCCACGGCGCCGACGGAUGAGGCAAUGGCCGCUGCCAAGAACCUGCUCGUGACGAGCUAUGGCUCAUGCUACAGCAACGCGGGGAUGCAGCCGCUGAGCCUGUCCAUGAGCCCCAGGUCCCAGUCCAGCAGCUGCGUCAGCGCAGCUCCUCAGCAGCAUCAGAUGGCUGCGGUUGCUGCUGCGGCUGCUGCCUCUAUGGUUGCUUCCCAGGGAGGCAGUAAUGGUGGUGGGGAGCAGUGCGUGGGGAAGAAGAGGGGCACUGGGAAGGGAGGCCAGAAGCAGCCCGUUCAUCGCAAGUCCAUCGACACGUUUGGGCAGAGGACCUCCCAGUAUAGGGGCGUCACCAGCAGGCACAGGUGGACUGGGAGAUAUGAAGCCCACCUGUGGGACAACAGUUGCAAGAAGGAUGGGCAGACAAGGAAAGGGAGGCAAGUUUAUCUAGGUGGUUAUGACAAUGAAGACAAGGCUGCCAGGGCUUAUGAUCUGGCUGCUCUGAAAUAUUGGGGGCCAUCGACGAACACCAAUUUCCCGCUAGAAAAUUAUCGAGAGGAGGUCGAGGAGAUGAAAAGCAUGACAAGACAGGAAUUCGUUGCACACUUGAGAAGGAGAAGCAGCGGGUUUUCUCGUGGUGCUUCGAUAUAUCGAGGAGUAACGAGGCAUCAUCAGCAUGGAAGAUGGCAAGCUAGGAUUGGCAGGGUUGCUGGCAACAAAGACUUGUAUCUCGGCACUUUCACCACUCAGGAAGAAGCAGCUGAGGCCUACGACGUAGCGGCGAUCAAGUUCCGUGGCCUGAACGCCGUGACCAACUUCGACAUAACCAGAUACGACGUGGACAAGAUCAUGGAGAGCAGCUCUCUGCUGCCCGGGGACGAAGCGCGCAAGGUCAGGCCGAUCGAGGCAGCCAGCCACGUGUCUCCCAUGCACAACGGCGGCGGGGAGCUCAGCCAUGCCGAAGAAGGAAGCUCCGGCGUCUGGAGGAUGGUGCUCCAUGGAACACCGCAGCAAGCUGCGCCGUGCACCCCCGAGGUGGCCGACCUUCAGAAGGGCUUCAUGGACGGCGACCCUCGCUCGUCCCUGCAUGGCAAUGGCAUUGCCGGGUUCGACGUGGAGUCUGCGGCGCAUGACAUCGACGUCUCAGGCAAGAUCAACUACUCCAACUCGUCUUCCCUGGUGACCAGCCUCAGCAACUCGAGAGAGGGGAGCCCCGAGAGGUUCAGCCUACCCUCGCUGUACGCCAAGCAUCCCAACGCCGUCAGCCUCGCCAGCAUGAGCCCGUGGAUGGCGAUGCCGGCGCCGACCGCCGCCCACACGUUGAGGGGACCGAAUUCCUCCAUCCCUUCUAUGCCUGUGUUUGCUGCCUGGACGGACGCAUAG
rnacentral:rRNA from 1 species